UUUUUCACCGUGCAUUUUGGGCUACGUUGUUUAAUCUCGGGACUUAUCAAAAUUUAGCUCUGUUUCGGUUGCGUCAGUUUCAGUUAGCUGUUUUCUUUCACAAAAAGCAAUAAUUAGGUAUUUGUUGCUGAAUUUGUCGGUUAAUUUUAGUGAUAUUGGCAAUUUGGAGCUUUUAAUCUAGGUUGUGUACACACAGUGGCUUCCGGAGAAAACCGGAUCGGUGGAAGAUCGAUGAAUUCCAGAAAAGAAUCAGUACGGAUAUCAGGAGUGACUUCAAUGGAAACUGAAAAAAUUAGACUUCCUGUUGCCUUCCACCACAUGACCGAUCCAUAACUUUUCCCGGAGCUGAGCUCGUCAGACAACCAGAGAUGGCAAACGGAUCUACGCCAUAAGUUCGGCGGCAGUUUUUCCAGCAUGAUGACCACAGUUCCGGCAGUAACAUAAUAAGAACGAGUCCGCAACGGAAGACAGUUUUUCGACACCAAAACGAGCAAAACCUAGGAAGUGAAGGAUUCAUAUUGCCAACUAUGCUGUAUUAUUGUUUAGCACAUUCAGUGCGGAUACUUAUAUUUAGGAUCAAAAGAACAAAGCUGAUGAACUUAUUGCGGGAGGUUUAAUAAACAUGAUGAAAAAUUCGUUGAACUU